GACGAACGCUGGCGGCGUGCCUAAUACAUGCAAGUCGAACGCUUCUUUCCUCCCGAGUGCUUGCACUCAAUUGGAAAGAGGAGUGGCGGACGGGUGAGUAACACGUGGGUAACCUACCCAUCAGAGGGGGAUAACACUUGGAAACAGGUGCUAAUACCGCAUAACAGUUUAUGCCGCAUGGCAUAAGAGUGAAAGGCGCUUUCGGGUGUCGCUGAUGGAUGGACCCGCGGUGCAUUAGCUAGUUGGUGAGGUAACGGCUCACCAAGGCCACGAUGCAUAGCCGACCUGAGAGGGUGAUCGGCCACACUGGGACUGAGACACGGCCCAGACUCCUACGGGAGGCAGCAGUAGGGAAUCUUCGGCAAUGGACGAAAGUCUGACCGAGCAACGCCGCGUGAGUGAAGAAGGUUUUCGGAUCGUAAAACUCUGUUGUUAGAGAAGAACAAGGACGUUAGUAACUGAACGUCCCCUGACGGUAUCUAACCAGAAAGCMCGWWWUUUYC
rnacentral:rRNA from 1 species